rnacentral:rRNA from 1 species
UCCCUACGGGUGGCUGCAGUGAGGAAUUUUGCGCAAUAGGGGAAACCCUGACGCAGCAACGCCGCGUGAGUGAAGAAGGCCCUCGGGUCGUAAAGCUAUGUCAAGUGGGAAAAAAGCUUGUUGGUGAAUAGCCAGCAAGACUGAUGGUACCAUUGAAGGAAGCACCGGCUAACUCCGUGCCAGCAGCCGCGGUAAUACGGAGGGUGCAAGCGUUGUUCGGAAUUACUGGGCGUAAAGGGCGUGUAGGCGGGGUGGUAAGUCAGAUGUGAAAGCCCUGGGCUUAACCCAGGAAGUGCAUUUGAAACUGCCAUGCUUGAGUAUGGGAGAGGAGAGUGGAAUUCCCAGUGUAGAGGUGAAAUUCGUAGAUAUUGGGAGGAACACCCGUGGCGAAGGCGACUCUCUGGACCAAUACUGACGCUGAGGCGCGAAAGCGUGGGGAGCAAACAGGAUUAGAUACCCCUGUAGUCAC